rnacentral:rRNA from 1 species
CCUACGGGGGGCUGCAGUGGGGAAUAUUGGGCAAUGGGCGCAAGCCUGACCCAGCAACGCCGCGUGAAGGAAGAAGGCUUUCGGGUUGUAAACUUCUUUUCUCAGGGACGAAGAAAGUGACGGUACCUGAGGAAUAAGCCACGCCUAACUACGUGCAAGCAGCCGCGGUAAUCCGUAGGUGGCAAUCGUUCUCCGGUUUGAUUGGGUGUAAGGGGCGUGUAGGCGGGAGAGCAAUUCAGAUGUGAAAACUCAGGGCUCAACCCUGAGCGUGCUUUUGAAACUGUGUUUUUUGGGUGCUGGAGAGGCAAUGGGAAUUCGGUGUGUGGCGGUGAAAUGCGUAGAUAUACGGAGGAAAACCAGUGGCAAAGGCGGAUUGCUGGACAGUAACUGACGCUGGGGCGCGAAAGCGUGGGAGCAAACAGGAUUAGAUACCCGAGUAGUC